rnacentral:rRNA from 1 species
CACUGUCACUCCUACGGGGAGGCAGCAGUGGGGAAUAUUGCACAAUGGGCGCAAGCCUGAUGCAGCCAUGCCGCGUGUGUGAAGAAGGACCUUCGGGUUGUAAAGCACUUUCAGUCGUGAGGAAGGCGGGUACGUUAAUAGCGUAUUCGUUUGACGUUAGCGACAGAAGAAAGCACCGGCUAACUCCGUGCCAGCAGCCGCGGUAAUACGGAGGGUGCGAGCGUUAAUCGGAAUUACUGGGCGUAAAGCGCAUGCAGGUGGUUUGUUAAGUCAGAUGUGAAAGACCCGGGGCUCAACCUCGGAAUAGCAUUUGAAACUGGCAGACUAGAGUACUGUAGAGGGGGGUAGGAAUUUCAGGUGUAGCGGUGAAAUGCGUAGAGAUCUGAAGGAAUACCGGUGGCGAAGGCGGCCCCCUCGGACAGAUACUGACACUCAGAUGCGAAAGCGUGGGGAGCAAACAGGAUUAGAUACCCUGGUAG